AACGAACGCUGGCGGCAUGCCUAACACAUGCAAGUCGAACGAACCCUUCGGGGUGAGUGGCGCACGGGUGCGUAACGCGUGGGAACCUGCCCUUAGGUUCGGAAUAACAGUGAGAAAUCGCUGCUAAUACCGGAUAAUGUCUUCGGACCAAAGAUUUAUCGCCUUUGGAUGGGCCCGCGUUGGAUUAGCUAGUUGGUGGGGUAAAGGCUCACCAAGGCGACGAUCCAUAGCUGGUCUUAGAGGAUGAUCAGCCACACUGGGACUGAGACACGGCCCAGACUCCUACGGGAGGCAGCAGUGGGGAAUAUUGGACAAUGGGCGAAAGCCUGAUCCAGCAAUGCCGCGUGAGUGAUGAAGGCCUUAGGGUUGUAAAGCUCUUUUACCAGGGAUGAUAAUGACAGUACCUGGAGAAUAAGCUCCGGCUAACUCCGUG
rnacentral:rRNA from 1 species